AUCAAUAAGCGGAGGAAAAGAAACUAACAAGGAUUCCCCUAGUAACUGCGAGUGAAGCGGGAAGAGCUCAAAUUUAAAAUCUGGUAGUCUUUGGCUGCCCGAGUUGUAAUCUAGAGAAGCGUUAUCCGCGCUGGACCGUGUACAAGUCUCCUGGAAUGGAGCGUCAUAGAGGGUGAGAAUCCCGUCUUUGACACGGACUACCAGGGCUUUGUGAUACGCUCUCGAAGAGUCGAGUUGUUUGGGAAUGCAGCUCUAAAUGGGUGGUAAAUUCCAUCUAAAGCUAAAUAUUGGCGAGAGACCGAUAGCGAACAAGUACCGUGAGGGAAAGAUGAAAAGAACUUUGGAAAGAGAGUUAAACAGUACGUGAAAUUGUUGAAAGGGAAACGCUUGAAGUCAGUCACGUUGGCUAGGAAUCAGCCUUGCUUUUGCUUGGUGUAUUUCCUGGUUUUAACGGGUCAGCAUCAAUUUCGACCGAUGGAAAAAGGUCAGGGGAAUGUGGCAUCUUAGGAUGUGUUAUAGCCCUUGGUCGUAUACAUCGGUUGGGAUUGAGGAACUCAGCACGCCGCAAGGUCGGGUUAUCUAACCACGUUCGUGCUUAGGAUGCUGGCAUAAUGGCUUUAAUCGACCCGUCUUGAAACACGGACCAAGGAGUCUAACAUGCCUGCGAGUGUUUGGGUGGAAAACCCGAGCGCGUAAUGAAAGUGAAAGUUGAGAUCCCUGUCGUGGGGAGCAUCGACGCCCGGACCAGACCUUCUGUGACGGAUCCGCGGUAGAGCAUGUAUGUUGGGACCCGAAAGAUGGUGAACUAUGCCUGAAUAGGGUGAAGCCAGAGGAAACUCUGGUGGAGGCUCGUAGCGAUUCUGACGUGCAAAUCGAUCGUCAAAUUUGGGUAUAGGGGCGAAAGACUAAUCGAACCAUCUAGUAGCUGGUU
rnacentral:rRNA from 1 species